AAGAAUAAACGUUUGAUAUUAAGCACAAAAACAUAUUACAUGAAUAUAAAUAUGGACUCCUAAAAUAAACUUCUAAGAAUCUGGAGACUUCCCUUUAUUAUGUGCUAUCCUAUUUUAUCCUAUCUUCUAGUGUACUCCCCCUUAGUACAUGCUCCUAGAUGCCGACAUGUCUACGCUCUUUCUCCCCCUUUUUUGAUAAACAUCAAAAUGGGUGAAAGAAGAGACAUCACAAACCAACACAGGAGAAGGAAUGAAAGAGAAGUAAGGGUUGAAGAGGGUUUAAAUGUACAUAGAAAGGUUAAGGGUAAAGAGAGAGGGGAUGGAAGGAGUGGGUUGGAAGUUGGGUAAGGUGAGGUUUGGUCGUGAAGAGGGUGGGUUAGAUUGAAGAACUACUUGCGCAUGACAUGUAAGUUCUGAAUACAAGAGUAGGAAGGAAUGUUGGAUUAUCAUAUUCAUCUUGGUUCGCUGAUCCGAUGAGAUGAUGAUAAUAAUCUAGAGGUUUGGAGGAGGACUUCAUUGGUUUUGAAUGUUGAGAGUUUGAGAGAUCAGAGACAUGGGAAAUUAUGAGGGCAAGAGAGAAAGAGAGUUAGGGUUUUUGAAAGACUGUGUUGAGAAUUGAAAGAGUAUAGUCGAGUUAAAUAGAGGGAAAAAUUUAGUCAUUCGCGAUUGAUUUGUCUCGUCCAUUUAAUGCGCUUCAUACGAAUAUAUUAUGAAAAGGGAUGUUAUAUCUCUUGAAGACGGAGAAAUUUUGGAAUGGAGUGUAGGGUGCAACGGAUGAGAAUGAGAAGAGUGGUGGAGUUAGAAGUUUUGUUGUUUUGAGGAAGAGAGAGGAUAGGGAAUUAAUGUUAAGAGUGAUGACUUGAUUAACACACAGAAGUAUUUGGCAGAUUAGAAAUAAAACGUUUGGGGUUUUGAAAAUCCUAGAGAACUUCUAGAGAUGGACUCAGUAUUUAUAUAUAACUUAAUGCAUGGUUGCAGAUGUCUUAUAGACAAUUUAUCUUAGAUGAUGCAAUGUAUGACGUCAUACAGAGUAUGUGUCUUAGACGUUUGACUCUCUA
rnacentral:lncRNA from 1 species